rnacentral:rRNA from 1 species
UGCCAGCAGCCGCGGUAAAACCAGCACCUCAAGUGGUCAGGAUGAUUAUUGGGCCUAAAGCAUCCGUAGCCUGCUUUGUUAGUUUUCGGUUAAAUCCAUACGCUCAACGUAUGGGCUGCCGGGAAUACUGCAAAGCUAGGGAGUGGGAGAGGUAGACGGUACUCGGUAGGAAGGGGUAAAAUCCUUUGAUCUAUUGAUGACCACCUGUGGCGAAGGCGGUCUACCAGAACACGUCCGACGGUGAGGGAUGAAAGCUGGGGGAGCAAACCGGAUUAGAUA